rnacentral:lncRNA from 1 species
UCUAUAGUAAGGGGCCUUUUCAAUUCAAUCUCCCACUUGAUUUCGGACAGUCAAAUAUAAAGACUCUUUGUUAGCUCUUCGUGCCUCCUUGACUUCUCAAACUGAACUAAGACUGUCCAACUAGAGGUAUAGCCGGAAGGAGCUCUUUUUGUAUUGAAAGUGUUUUCAAAUAGCAAUCCAUCGCGUCGGUAAUAAGACUUAGAGUAAACGAACGAUUCAAGCUCCUUACAGAAGGCAGUUCAGCUUGAUAACUCGAUAAGCUGUAUUGACAGAACAAAACCACUCUUUCAAAGGUGGGAUCAAUCCUAACCUAUUCUUCUUAGCCUAAUAGUCUAUUCGUGGAAGUAAAUUAUCCAAAAAGUCUCCUUACUAGACCUAACAUCCUGUCAUCGCUUUCAGAUACAAGGAAGUUGGACUAGUUAUUAGACCAACUAUCUCACGCUCUCUCUCUCAAACCCAGCCAAAGGAGCACAUCUAGUUGAAAGACUCUCAUUCU